UCAACAUCACCUGGAAUGUUUUACAAAUACAAAUUCAUGAGCCCUGCCAGAUGAGUCAGAAUCUCUGAGGAUGGGGCUCUCAGGAGUAAUUGUUUUAAAAAUCUCUCCAGGUGAUUCUUAUGUACCUAAAGUUUAAGAAGCCUUCGUCUAGCAGACAUUUUCCUUUAAGAAAGCACUCUGAAGACGUGCAUGCUUCUCUAUCAAGGAGAAAACCAAAUGAAAUGAGCAGAUUAAAAGGCAAGACUCCUGGUGGAAAGUAGAUGGGCAAACAUGCUAGAAACAUUGUGAGGUGUGAGAAGGAGGAUAAAAAACCAGAUAGGAGGAGCACCAUGGUUCUCCAAGGAAUAACAUGGAAAAACGUGAACACAGGAAUGCAAACUCAAAGGAGGACUGAAGGAAGAUUUAACAACAGCAAAAUAUCAUCAGCUCCUUGGGCUUGGCAAAAGUCAAUCCAGAGAAGAUGCUCUGAGCUCCAGGUGGCAUGGGCUCCUCUGCUUCACUUUCAGCUUAGCAAUCAUGCUAACCCAUCUACUUAUAUUUUUCUUUGAUCUUUGCUCUACUCUGUCAAACAGCUGCUAAAAAUCAGAACAAAUUUGUGCCCAGAAAUGUGCCACAAUUUAAGAGAAUUCAAACAUUUCACAUAGCCCAGAACUCCAGAGCAAAAAAUUCCAAAUAAAAGAAAAUUGACAAUCAUUCUAGAUAAUGAUAACAGCAACAACAAUGAUAAAUAAUAAAAGAUAAAGAAGAAAAGGAAGAACAUGUUUUCCCUAGUUAUGAGGUUUUCAUCUUUUCCAUUUCUAUUUGGUUUGCAGAGGACCCUCUUUGAAUUCCAUUUGAAUAUUUUUGUGACUGACCAUCCUUCCUUAUCAUGAUGAGCCAAGCAUAAUUAGGAAAAGUAAAACC
rnacentral:lncRNA from 1 species